CCACUUUGUGAUUCAUGACUGGGGUGAAGUCGUAACAAGGUAACCGUAGGGGAACCUGCGGUUGGAUCACCUCCUUACCUGAAAGA
rnacentral:rRNA from 1 species